rnacentral:rRNA from 1 species
AUUGAACGCUGGCGGCAGGCUUAACACAUGCAAGUCGAGCGAGCGGCGGACGGGUGAGUAAUGUCUGGGAAACUGCCUGCUGGAGGGGGAUAACUACUGGAAACGGUAGCUAAUACCGCAUACCAUCAGAUGUGCCCAGAUGGGAUUAGCUAGUUGGUGGGGUAAUGGCUCACCUAGGCGACGAUCCCUAGCUGGUCUGAGAGGAUGACCAGCAACACGGUAACUGGGCCACGGUCCAGACUCCGACGGGAGGCAGCAGUGGGGAAUAUGGCACAAUGGGCGCAAGCCUGAUGCAGCCAGGCCGCGUGUGUGAAGAAGGCCUUCGGGUUGUAAAGCACUUUCAGCGGGGAGGCGUUACCCGCAGAAGAAGCACCGGCUAACUCCGUGCCAGCAGCCGCGGUAAUUC